UACAGAGGGGGCAAGCGUUGUUCGGAAUUACUGGGCGUAAAGGGCGCGUAGGCGGCCUUCUAAGUCGAACGUGAAAUCCCUCGGCUCAACUGAGGAACUGCACGGGAUACUGCGAGACUUGAGUUCGGGAGAGGGAAGCGGAAUUCCGGGUGUAGCGGUGAAAUGCGUAGAUAUCCGGAGGAACACCGGUGGCGAAGGCGGCUUCCUGGACCGAUCACUGACGCUGAGGCGCGAAAGCUAGGGGAGCAAACGGG
rnacentral:rRNA from 1 species